rnacentral:rRNA from 1 species
GACGAACGCNGGCGGCGUGCCUAAUACAUGCAAGUAGAACGCUGAAGGAGGAGCUUGCUUCUCCGGAUGAGUUGCGAACGGGUGAGUAACGCGUAGGUAACCUGCCUGGUAGCGGGGGAUAACUAUUGGAAACGAUAGCUAAUACCGCAUAAGAGUAGAUGUUGCAUGACAUUUGCUUAAAAGGUGCAAUUGCAUCACUACCAGAUGGACCUGCGUUGUAUUAGCUAGUUGGUGGGGUAACGGCUCACCAAGGCGACGAUACAUAGCCGACCUGAGAGGGUGAUCGGCCACACUGGGACUGAGACACGGCCCAGACUCCUACGGGAGGCAGCAGUAGGGAAUCUUCGGCAAUGGACGGAAGUCUGACCGAGCAACGCCGCGUGAGUGAAGAAGGUUUUCGGAUCGUAAAGCUCUGUUGUAAGAGAAGAACGAGUGUGAGAGNGGAAAGUUCACAC